rnacentral:rRNA from 1 species
GAUGAACGCUGGCGGCGUGCCUAAUACAUGCAAGUCGAGCGAACAGACGAGGAGCUUGCUCCUCUGACGUUAGCGGCGGACGGGUGAGUAACACGUGGAUAACAUCCCUAUAGGACUGGGAUACCUUCGAGAAACCGGAGCUAAUACCGGAGAAUAUAUUGAACCGCAUAGUUCAAUAGUGCAAGACGGUGUUGCCGUAACUUAUAGAUGGAUCCGCGCCGCCUUAGCUAGUUGGUAAGGUAACGGCUUACCAAGGCAACGAUGCUUAGCCGACCUGAGAGGGUGAUCGGCCACACUGGAACUGAGACACGGUCCAGACUCCUACGGGAGGAAGCAGUAGAGAAUCUUACGCAAUGGGCGAAAGCCGGACGGAGCAACGCCGCGUGAGUGAUGAAGGUGUUCGGAUCGUAAAACUCUGUUAUUAGUGAAGAACAAAUGUGUAAGUAACUAUGCACGUCUUGACGGUACCUAAUCAGAAAGCCACGGCUAACUACGUG